CUCUCGUCCCUUCGCCGCCGCCCUCCCAUCGAUACGCCGCCGAUCCCUGCGGAGCUUCCCUCCCCAAUCCGAUCUGACAGAGAGAGUGCUAGAUCCGGCCGGAGGAGCCGCCAUAGAGCCUCCACGUCGGUGGAGCAGCACCUCCUGCCACGGACGCCGUCGCCACCUCCUGCCUUACGACCCUUUGCCCUGACUCCGUCCCCAAGCGCCGCUCCCGCACGCAACCCUAACCCUAGCCCGCCAUGCCCCGCUGCCUCGCCGCUUGAGCCGCGCUGAUGGAGCCUGAGCAGCGGUGGCCGACCCCGUCGCCGCCGCCGAGCCAGUGGACGAGGAGAAGGAGAAGGAGGAGGAGACGGAGGCGGUCGAGGAUGAGGAGAACACGCUGCUGGACCGUGCACAGCCUGAUCCGACGGGUCCCUUUGCACAUGUGCAGUUCGUCAAUGGACCAAUGCCUAAUCUCCCCAAGGUUGAUGUUUCACUGGACCCGGUGAAGGAGUUGAGCAGAGUAAUAUCUGAGCGAAAAUUUUGAGGGGCGUGCCUUGGUUGUGCUCUCAGCCAGGUUAUUUUACGAGGGUUGUGUGCACUGAACCCCAUUUCUCUGGAUCAAGGGACGGUGAACAAGAUGGGAAUGAGGAGGAUGCGACCUAUAGAUGGUUGCUAUGGAUCGGGAGGUUGAUACUGAACAUCAGUUUACUACCAAUCCGGAGUAGUAAUAUUGGAUUACAGGCCAUGGGUUAACUAAUACAUGCAUCAGCUUUGUAUCAUAAAGAUUUCACCAUCCCAAGGUAAUGGAAAUAAGUUCACAAGAUUCUCAUGUUGAGGUCUGUACAAAGAGAUACAUGGCAAUGUCUGUGUGCUGAAAGGAGAAACUCACUGUCAAAGCUAUAAUCCCUGAUGCUAAAGCCUGCAUGUUCAGAUCUGCAGAGUUUACUCAUAUUACUGUAUGAAUGAUUAAUACAGAGGGAGCCCUUUUGGCAGGUCAUUUAAUCAUUUAAUCGUAGGUACAUUAUCUCAGGAGUGCACAAGCGCGCCUACUCACGGAAUCGCCCAGCUCACGGAAUCGCCUAGCUCACGUUCUCCUCGGGAUAUGCCAUGAAGCUGUUAUUUCAUCUGUAUAGCACAUGGCUGGUCCCACGUGCAUGCUGAACGGCCGUUAAGGGAACGACGGCGUCAUGGUCAAAACGUCACGCGACUUCGGAUGCAAAACGGCACGUAACAUUGAUGUAUGUAUGCACGUGAGCACCCUAGGUGGGGUCACUACGUGAUUACAUUAUAUUUAUUUUUGCGGGGUCUGAUAAGAUUAUACUUAAUUGAGGA